AGCUCCCAGCCAGGCUCCGCGGCGUGUAAAAGCGAGGCGGAGGGGCGAGCAGCACGGAGCGACAAGCCGGGCCGGGCUGCUGAGACGGUUGCCCCGGGAGUGCUGCGCACACGAGCAAACGUCGUCUGAAAUGGCAUCCGAGUUUCUGCUGACCCACCUCUUACCUUUGUGGAGCCCCACAGCACAGAAGAUAUGCCUAAGACAGAGCAGUUCCCCAUUCAAGCACUCAGCAUCUGAUUCUGAUUUUCCUCUCUACCUCCCUUCAGCUUGCUGACAAAGCUGCUGUAAAGAUGUGGGAAAAAAACCACGUGCAACACUUACCUCUAUAGGCAUUCUCUUGCUGUCUGCUCAGACACGUUGUUUCAGC